AUUGCCUCUGUCCAGACCCGUGGCUUCCCCUCCGCCUCCCUUCUUGCAGGCUUGAAUCUCCCUCCUGCCCCUGUCCUCCCUGUGUGAGCGCACACCAAGUUGACCUGACGAGUGUCCAUGGGAAACUGAGGAUGGAGAAACAAAGAGGAAGCCAACCCUCCACCAGGUUCCCAUAGUGCCAGUGUGUUGUCACACCCCAUUCAUCCCUGCAGACCUUGCUGCCCAAAGAGCGCCUGUGUAAGAAAAGAGAGGCCAUUUACCUUGUCUUGUGAGCAGAUCGUGGGUUUGGUUUUGGUCAUGGGAGGGGUGGGGACAAGCCAGGUGUUUGUGAGCACUGGGGACAUAGUUAUCAGGUGCUCAUUAUCAAGGGGCUGGUCCCUUUUCUCCCAUGAGCACCCUGCACCCUAUCUUACAGAGUCAUCAGGACUGUGGGGUCCUCCCUAAAAGAGAGGUCAAGAAGAGUGCCACAGGUGACCACUGCCAAGAAUCACCCAUCUCGAUGUGUCUCUACAUCAAGGAGGGGUCUUUCACAGGCAUGGUGCUUACCCCGAGGGGCAGCAUCAAUUAUGGGGAAACAAUUGCCUGGUGAAAAGAGUUUCCAUGGUUCUAAGAGAGCUGUGCCUGCAGGCAGACACUAAUCUCCUAUGGGAACAAAUGGCGAGGCCUCGGUCUGUGAACGGAUGUGACUUUGUGUCUGUUAAAGAAAACACGGUGAGUAAAGCAGGACUCUUACUGUUUCCCCCACCAGUGUGUAGGGUAGCUGGGCACCGCGGCCCCACUUCUUGAGGAAGUUGGUGAUGUGUGCAGAUUACUCGGUAGUGAAAAGAAUUCUGCCGUUGCUGUAAUGUAAUCCAGCACUGUUUCCCUGCGCCGUUACUUAGCAAGCCACGAGGCAGCUCUCCGGCCUCACCCGUAUGGCUCCCGUUUCCUCUCCAUUACUCUGACUCCAAGGAGGUCCUGCAACGCUCAGGCUCCCGGUCUCUAAACACACAGCCUUAACACUAAAGAUGUUGGUGGUGGGUGAACUAGGAGAGGUCCAUCUCAAAGGAAAGUUCCUCUGAUAGAGAUUAAUUCACAGCCAGGCCCUGCUUCUUUGCAUACAAUGUAAAACUUUUAGGUGGCAUCUGAUUGUACUUUAAUUUGCAUGUCCUCAUGGACUAUUUAAAAGUGCUG